GGCGGGACACGUGGUAUCCUGUCUGAAUAUGGGGGGACCAUCCUCCAAGGCUAAAUACUCCUGACUGACCGAUAGUGAACCAGUACCGUGAGGGAAAGGCGAAAAGAACCCCGGCGAGGGGAGUGAAAAAGAACCUGAAACCGUGUACGUACAAGCAGUGGGAGCACAGGUUUACCUGUGUGACUGCGUACCUUUUGUAUAAUGGGUCAGCGACUUAUAUUCUGUAGCAAGGUUAACCGUAUAGGGGAGCCGCAGGGAAACCGAGUCUUAAUUGGGCGUUAAGUUGCAGGGUAUAGACCCGAAACCCGGUGAUCUAGCCAUGGGCAGGUUGAAGGUUGGGUAACACUAACUGGAGGACCGAACCGACUAAUGUUGAAAAAUUAGCGGAUGACCUGUGGCUGGGGGUGAAAGGCCAAUCAAACCGGGAGAUAGCUGGUUCUCCCCGAAAGCUAUUUAGGUAGCGCCUCGUGAAUUCAUCUCCGGGGGUAGAGCACUGUUUCGGCUAGGGGGCCAUCCCGGCUUACCAACCCGAUGCAAACUGCGAAUACCGGAGAAUGUUAUCACGGGAGACACACGGCGGGUGCUAACGUCCGUCGUGAAGAGGGAAACAACCCAGACCGCCAGCUAAGGUCCCAAAGUCAUGGUUAAGUGGGAAACGAUGUGGGAAGGCCCAGACAGCCAGGAUGUUGGCUUAGAAGCAGCCAUCAUUUAAAGAAAGCGUAAUAGCUCACUGGUCGAGUCGGCCUGCGCGGAAGAUGUAACGGGGCUAAACCAUGCACCGAAGCUGCGGCAGCGACGCUGAUGCGUUGUUGGGUAGGGGAGCGUUCUGUAAGCCUGCGAAGGUGGCCUGUGAGGGUUGCUGGAGGUAUCAGAAGUGCGAAUGCUGACAUAAGUAACGAUAAAGCGGGUGAAAAGCCCGCUCGCCGGAAGACCAAGGGUUCCUGUCCAACGUUAAUCGGGGCAGGGUGAGUCGACCCCUAAGGCGAGGCCGAAAGGCGUAGUCGAUGGGAAACGGGUUAAUAUUCCCGUACUUGGUGUUACUGCGAAGGGGGGACGGAGAAGGCUAUGUUGGCCGGGCGACGGUUGUCCCGGUUUAAGCGUGUAGGUGUGUGUUCCAGGUAAAUC
rnacentral:rRNA from 1 species